CUACGGGUGGCACCAGUGAGGAAUAUUGCACAAUGGGGGGAACCCUGAUGCAGCAACGCCGCGUGGAGGAUGACGCAUUUCGGUGUGUAAACUCCUUUUAUAUGUCAAGAAAAUGACGGUAGCAUAUGAAUAAGCACCGGCUAACUCCGUGCCAGCAGCCGCGGUAAUACGGAGGGUGCAAGCGUUACUCGGAAUCACUGGGCGUAAAGGACGCGUAGGCGGGUUGGAAAGUCAGGUGUGAAAUCCUACAGCUUAGCUGUAGAACUGCACUUGAAACUUCUAAUCUAGAGUAUGGGAGGGGGAGAUGGAAUUAGUGGUGUAGGGGUAAAAUCCGUAGAUAUCACUAGGAAUACCUAAAGCGAAGGCGAUCUCCUGGAACAUUACUGACGCUAAGGCGUGAAAGCGUGGGGAGCAAACAGGAUUAGAUACCCCGGUAGUC
rnacentral:rRNA from 1 species